GAGAUUUUCUCCCACAAACAUAGAAGCUUUUGAUGAUAACAGAGAGGAAGGCAAGGCGUUAUUAUAUCUGGAACAAAUGGUCUUGCUGUUUGACUGCUUCUGCUUUAGAAGUUGUCCAUUGCUUUAAAUUCUCUUGUUCAAAGACCCUUUUUUAACUUGUAUGUUUUUCAUGCAAGGGGACUGGUUUCUCCCUCAGAUCUCAGCUCAGAAGAUAUCUCCAGGAAGGAGUAGGGGAUGGAUUUAAUCACAGAGGACACGGGCCCGAGUUUCUACAAAGCCUGCAAGGUGACAUGGAGGAUGACAGCACUUACAUUGCACCUUCACCACAUCUCACUCAGCCUUAUAGAUAGGCAGGACUCAGCAACCCCAGGCUGCAAAUGACAAUACUGAAUCACAAAAGGAAGAGCAGUCACACCUAACAAGAGCCAAAUUACGCAUACUGGUACAAAGAAGAAAGUGCAGAGAGCAGUCACUGAGCUCUUGAAGUCUCCUUCAAUACAAGGUGGAAAGGGUGAAUGGACACCAGGCUCAUCUCUCCAUCUACAGAACAAUCAUACUGUUACGUGAUGCAGUGGAGUAUAUUGGAGUGAUGCAAGUGAAGUUCUUUGUGAUCCUGGGAUAGGAAGGGCUGCAGAAACUGCUUUCCUAAGCUUGU